GCCUCUAUUUAAGGAAGGGAGAGAGGCGCAGGCGGCAGUUGCUGUGGUGUCGGUGCUGAGGCGGCUUCGUUCUUCUGCUAGUGAGCCUCGCGGAUGUAGCGUCCCGCGUCUAAGUCCUGCUGUCUGCGGCUACCAAUUGGGAGGUCAGGAGCGCAGGGUACUUUCUUUGGGCCAGAGCCGGCCCCCUUUUUUGCCUUCGCCACUAAGUGAAGCCAUUUAGGUCAGCUUCCGCGCGGCUGAGGAGAAGGCCGCCGGCGAUAUGUUCAAAAACACGUUCCAGAGCGGCUUCCUCUCCAUUCUCUACAGCAUUGGCAGCAAGCCCCUGCAAAUCUGGGACAAAAAGGUGAGGAAUGGCCACAUCAAAAGAAUCACUGAUAAUGACAUCCAGUCCCUGGUGCUAGAGAUUGAAGGAACAAACGUCAGCACCACAUAUAUCACAUGUCCUGCAGACCCAAAGAAAACAUUGGGAAUUAAACUUCCCUUCCUUGUCAUGAUUAUCAAAAACCUGAAGAAAUAUUUUACCUUUGAAGUGCAGGUACUAGAUGACAAGAAUGUGCGUCGACGGUUUCGGGCAAGUAACUACCAGAGCACCACCCGGGUCAAACCCUUCAUCUGUACCAUGCCCAUGCGGCUAGAUGAUGGCUGGAACCAAAUUCAGUUCAACCUGUCAGACUUUACUCGUCGGGCAUAUGGCACAAAUUACAUUGAGACCCUAAGGGUGCAGGUACUGGCUUUUUUCCCAGUUGGAGCCACAAAUGGGAGAGGGGACCACGCUCUGUUUGUUACUGGCUUUUGGCUCAUGACAGAACAGUGUGGGUUUCUGGCAAAAGUUCCCAAGUCACUGUCCAGGGGACUUUGACCUCAUUGAGGCCCAGGAGCUACUAAGGAAUCUGCUCAGAUACAGUGGGAAAAGACAGCAGGCAAAAUACCCCUCUUGUCAGAAUCUACGCUAAGUCAAGGUGAGGAGAUGCCAAAGAGAUAACGCUUUGACAGCACCAUGAGUGGGGCUCAAAGAGAAUCAGGAAGAGAGGAAAGACAAUCAUACUUUGCUUCUUAAAAUUAAUCUUGCAUCCACAGAUCCAUGCAAACUGUCGCAUCCGACGGGUUUACUUCUCAGACAGACUCUACUCAGAAGACGAACUGCCAGCAGAGUUCAAACUGUAUCUUCCAGUUCAGAACAAAGCUAAGCAAUAACUGAAAUGCAACUAAAGGAAUAGAUCCUGGAUAUGACUCUUAGUUUAAAGGAAAACUAUCUGGAGGACAAUGCAAAAAACAUAUAUUUAUCUUAGUUCACCGUACUGUGGUUCUUUUAUCUUCUACUUCGCAUCCCUUGUCAUGGACACCAGUGACCGUGCCGUAAUGCCAUAAUUGCAUUGUAAGUACAGUGGAAGAUAAACCGUCCUUUGAUACAUGAAUGCUGGAGUUUAUCUUGCUGCCUGCCUCAGUGUGUGGGGAGGUACAUUUACCAUGAACUUAGAGAAUUAAGGAUGUCCUAGAAGGCAAUUUCAGACCAAUAUUUCUUCCUACAGUUCUUUGUUUUAUAUAUUAUCUAAAUAUAUGUAUAUGCUGUGUAAUACUCAUAAUCCGGAAAUGAAUAAAAUGUUAUAUUCUUGGUUUGUA